rnacentral:misc_RNA from 1 species
GAUGAAGAACGUAGCGAAACGCGAUAUGUAAUGUGAAUUGCAGAAUUCAGUGAAUCAUCGAAUCUUUGAACGCACAUUGCGCCCGCCAGUAUUCUGGCGGGCAUGCCUGUCUGAGCGUCGUUUCGACCCUCGCGCCCGGCUUCUGUCGGGGGCGGUGUUGGGGAUCGGCCACACCCUUCAGUGGGAGGCCGGCCCCUAAAUUCAGUGGCGACCACGCUGUAGCCUCCCCUGCGUAGUACUAAAACCACCUCGCAGGCGGAGAGCGGUGCGGCCCGCCGUAAAACCCCCCAACUUUUACAAGGUCGACCUCAGAUCAGGUAGGAAUACCCGCUGAACUUAAGCAUAUCAAUAAGCGGAGGA